GACGAACGCUGGCGGCGUGCUUAACACAUGCAAGUCGAACGGAAAGGCCCUGCUUUUGUGGGGUGCUCGAGUGGCGAAAGGGUGAGUAACACGUGAGUAACCUGCCCUUGACUUUGGGAUAACUUCAGGAAACUGGGGCUAAUAUCGGAUAGGAGCUCCUGCUGCAUGGUGGGGGUUGGAAAGUUUCGGCGGUUGGGGAUGGACUCGCGGCUUAUCAGCUUGUUGGUGGGGUAGUGGCUUACCAAGGCUUUGACGGGUAGCCGGCCUGAGAGGGUGACCGGCCACAUUGGGACUGAGAUACGGCCCAGACUCCUACGGGAGGCAGCAGUGGGGAAUAUUGCACAAUGGGCGGAAGCCGUAUGCAGCAACGCCGCGUGCGGGAUGACGGCCUUCGGGUUGUAAACCGCUUUCGCCUGUGACGAAGCGUGAGUGACGGUAAUGGGUAAAGAAGCACCGGCUAACUACGUG
rnacentral:rRNA from 1 species